CCUACGGGAGGCAGCAGUGGGGAAUAUUGCGCAAUGGGCGAAAGCCUGACGCAGCGACGCCGCGUGAGGGAUGAAGUUUUUCGGAUCGUAAACCUCUGUCAGCAGGGAAGAACGGUCACUGUGAUAAUCAGCAGUGAAUUGACGGUACCUGCAAAGGAAGCACCGGCUAACUCCGUGCCAGCAGCCGCGGUAAUACGGAGGGUGCGAGCGUUAAUCGGAAUUACUGGGCGUAAAGCGCUCGUAGGUGGUAUGUCAAGUCAAGGGUGAAAGCCCCGCGCUCAACGUGGGAAGUGCCUUUGAAACUGGUAAACUGGAGUGUGUGAGAGGAUAGUGGAAUUCCAGGUGUAGGAGUGAAAUCCGUAGAUAUCUGGAGGAACAUCAGUGGCGAAGGCGACUAUCUGGCACAUAACUGACGCUGAGGAGCGAAAGCGUGGGUAGCAAACAGGAUUAGAUACCCUGGUAGUC
rnacentral:rRNA from 1 species